UCCUUGAUACUAAUACAAGUUACUAUCCGCAGUCGUGACCGAUCGGCUGCGAAGAGAUGGGAGAGUGCACGAAACGCGUCCACAAGUUGCUGCUGCUUCUUCUUCUCGUGUGCUUCGCCAUUCAAGGCCAAUGCAGAGGCGCAACCCUCGACAAGGAAGGUCUUAAUGGGUGUUUCAAGGGUCACAGCAUUCCCAUAUGCAACCCAGAUAAAGCUAAGUGCUACUGCUGUCUAACCAAUGAUAAUUGCUACAAGACGAUGGAUGAGUGCAAAGCCAUCUGUCCACCGGUGGAGGCGGCGGCAAUCCUCUCCCGGUCCUCCUCCUCCGUACUUCCAUGAAAUGAGAUCAUUGUAAUAAGCUAGAAGACAAAGGAUGAAUAAGAACAUCAAUAACGGUUGAUUUUACUCCAAGCCUCCAUCAAUCUUUUUGUUGUUACUGUUUGACAUUGCUUAUCAAGCCUGCCGCUCGAUAAGUUCUGUAUAUAACAAUGUAUGUUGCUCUCUCUGAAAUGUGUGACAUUCUACUCGG